UACGUAGGGUGCGAGCGUUAAUCGGAAUUACUGGGCGUAAAGCGUGCGCAGGCGGUGAGUUAAGUCUGAUGUGAAAGCCCCGGGCUCAACCUGGGAAUGGCAUUGGAAACUGGCUCGCUGGAGUGUGGCAGAGGGGGGUGGAAUUCCGCGUGUAGCAGUGAAAUGCGUAGAGAUGCGGAGGAGCACCGAUGGCGAAGGCAGCCCCCUGGGCCAACACUGACGCUCAGGCACGAAAGCGUGGGGAGCAAACAGG
rnacentral:rRNA from 1 species